rnacentral:rRNA from 1 species
AACGAACGCUGGCGGCAUGCCUAACACAUGCAAGUCGAACGAGACCUUCGGGUCUAGUGGCGCACGGGUGCGUAACGCGUGGGAACCUGCACUUAGGUUCGGCAUAACUCCCCGAAAGGGGUGCUAAUACCGGAUAAUGUCUUCGGACCAAAGAUUUAUCGCCUUUGGAUGGGCCCGCGUUGGAUUAGCUAGUUGGUAGGGUAAAAGCCUACCAAGGCGACGAUCCAUAGCUGGUCUGAGAGGAUGAUCAGCCACACUGAGACUGAGACACGGCCCAGACUCCUACGGGAGGCGGGAGUGGCGAAUGUUGGAAAAUGGGGGAAGGCCUGAAGCAGCAAGGCCGGGUGAGUGAUGAAGGCCUUAGGGUUGUAAAGCUCUUUUAACCGGGAUGAUAAUGACAGUACCGGGAGAAUAAGCCCCGGCUAACUCCGUG